rnacentral:tRNA from 1 species
GGGCCAGUGGCGAUAUGGAUAACGUGUCUGACUACGGAUCAGAAGAUUCUAUGUUCGACUCCUGGCUGGCUUG